rnacentral:misc_RNA from 1 species
CACAUACAACAACGAAUCAGCAUUCACGUUCCGCGGUGUCGCACAGCUUCUUCGCUUCGGCUGCUGCCCCUCCCCUUCCCCUUGUGCGCGUCCUCUGUGUCUUUGCUUCGUUCUCUCUUGUUUUUUUUGUCACAGGGGUCGCUUGCUCGUUUGUUCUCUGGCGGGUGCUCGACAUUUUUUUUGUGUCUUCUCUCGCACUGAUGUACGGGUUGUGGCCACCCCUCCCACUACUCCGCCCACCACCACUCUUCCCCCCCCCCUCCACCCCGUCCCACUGCCCGCCUGAGUAGGCGUAUUCACGCCUUCAUGCACGAGCUUCUCACAGGAUGCGUGGGGAUGCUGGAUGGUUAGGACAGUGAAGAGAGUUUCACGCGCUCGAAACGAAUCCUGCUGCUCACACUCGCACGCCCCUCGGUUUCACCAGCUCGGCAUGGCUACACUCUCCGCCUCCCUCCCCAGCCGCAGCCCACAUUAAAUCGCUCCUUUCGCUCCUUUUUCCAUCCACUGAGAAAGCAGACUGUGAUGAUGCCGGCCACCUCAGCGUGGUGUCACAGGGUCUAGCACACACUCUUUGUGGGGAGGCCAAGGGCUUUCAACAUGCCCUCAGGUGCGGCUGGCGGACUCUUAGUGUCGGCUGGCAGGGCUUGGCUGACGCUGUGCCAAAGACACCUGCGGUCACGAUCACGUAUAUAACAGCUCACUACGAAUCUCGCGGACGAUUCGACAAACAUAUGCGCCCACCAACGUUGCUUCUACCUUUGCUGCGCUGCGGUGAUGAACGUAAUCCUAGACCCAUCCUGCGCUGUAUGCCGUGGGGUUAUCGUGGGCUGAACGACGCCGGACGGUGUUCGUAGGCCCGGCCCUUUGGCGUGGCUCGAGUGCAACAGAGGCCGUGCGAACCCUUAGUUGUGUGCAUGCGUACACAUGCCGACGUGCUUUUCGUAGCAUGACGCUUGUAGAAACGAGAGAAAAGCAAAAAGAAAUGCACUCUCCGUGGUGGCCGUGGGUGUCUCUCGCCUUCCCUCCGACACUGGCACACAAGUGCACCGACGUCUCCUCCCUUCUCCGACCCUCUCUCCCUCCCCUCCUUCUCUUCCUCCCACUGCGGGGUCUCAUGGCUUCACAUAUUCUCUGCCUUUGCGCAUCUUCUGACUCUCACUCCACUCGCUCGCUGAUCCCCUCGUCUUUCAUCACGUGAGCGUCGUGGAACACCGCAACAAAGAGGUGAAGGCGAAGGGGCGAAACAACGCCAUGUAUGUUGCGGGCACUCCUGCCGGUCGCAUGCGG